UCUAGGUACUGAUGCGGGCUUUAUCAAAUCCUCCAUUUCGAGAAUACCAUGUCUGGUGGUCUCUUUCAGAUUCCAAGUAUGGUGGAACUGCUUUGCUUUGCAAAAAGCAACUUGAGCCAAAGAAGGUUUAUUUCUCACUAGACCGGUUAGGUACAAAACAUGAACCAGAUGGCCGGGUGAUUUUACUUGAAUUUGACUCAUGUUUUUUGCUAAAUACUUACUCACCUAAUAAUGGUUGGAAAGAGGAGGAAAACUCAUUUA